ensembl:lncRNA
GGGGGAUUUGCGAAGAGAAAACGCGUGAUUUUCAGGUUAAAUGUGGGAUUUGAGAAAACGCGUGAUUUUCGCUUAAAUGUUGGAUUCUCGAAGAGAAAACGCGUGAUUUUCGCUUAAAUGGGGGAUUUCUGAAAAGAAAACGCGUGAUUUUCGGGUUAAAUGGAAGAUUCCUGAAGAGAAAAUGCGUGUUUUUUGCUUAAACGGCGGAUUUGUGAAGAGAAAACGCGUGUUUUUCGCUUAAAUGGGGGAUUUGCGAAGAGAAAACGCGUGGUUUUCUGGUUAAAUGGGGCAUUUCUG